AUGCCAUCGCGCCGCGUCGCCGUGAUCGGCGCGGGGGCGGCCGGCCUGGUGGCUGCGCGGGAGCUGCGGCGGGAGGGCCACGCGCCGGCGCCCGUCGUCUUCGAGCGCGCAGUCGGCGUGGGCGGCACCUGGCGCUACGACGACGCGGCCUCGGCGGACCCGCUCGGCGCCGGCGGCGUCCACGGCAGCCUCUACGCAUCCCUCCGCACCAACCUGCCCCGCGAGUCCAUGGGCUUCCUCGACUUCCCCUUCGUCGCCGAUGAGGGCUCCAUUGACCCGCGCAGGUUCCCCGGGCACCAGGAGGUGCUCCGAUACCUCGAGACGUUCGCGCGGCGCUUCGAUCUCCUUGGGCUGGUCCGGCUCCAGACCGAGGUGGUCGGCGUCCGCCGCAGCAGGGUCGACGGCGUGGGCGCGGGUGCGGCGGGCUGGACGGUCUCCUACUGCUCGAGGAAGCUCGCCGGCGGGGAACUACAGGAGGAGGAGGAGCAGUCGGAGGUGUUCGACGCCGUUGUCGUCUGCAACGGCCACUUCGCCGAGCCCCUCCUCGCGGACAUCGCCGGCAUAGGCGGCUGGCCCGGGAAGCAACUGCACAGCCACAGCUACCGUGUGCCCGACCCGUUCCACGGCCAAGUCGUGGUGGUAAUAGGAUACCACCCCAGCGGGAUGGACAUCUCGAGGGACAUCGCCGGCGUUGCCAAAGAGGUCCAUGUCGCCAUUCGAGCGGCUCCUGCCGAGAUGCAGAGCGCCACUGCCCAUGCCAACCUGUGGCUACAUCCCAUGAUUGAAUGUGCCGAGGAAGAUGGCAGCGUGGUGUUCCAGGAUGGCAGUCGGGUCAAGGCGGACUCAAUCGUGCACUGCACAGGGUACAAGUACGGGUUCCCGUUCCUGGAGGAGGAUGGUAUAGUGAGCGUGGACAACAACCGUGUGGGUCCGCUUUACAAGCACGUGUUCCCGCCACAGUUGGCCCCUCACAUCUCCUUCAUUGGAUUACCAUUCAAGUUGAUCCUUUUUCCAGUGUUCCGGCUCCAGAGCAACUGGGUGGCGGGAGCACUGUCAGGAAGGAUCGAGCUCCCGUCACCGGAGGAGAUGAUGUUGGAUGUCAUGGCAUUUUACUCCGACAUGGAAGCCCGCGGAUGGCCCAAAAGAUUCACACAUAACCUAGGAGUGGAAGCAUGGACGUUUGAGUAUCAGGACUGGUUGGCGGAGCAGUGCGGGCUGGAGAAGAUGGAAGAGUGGAGGAGGGUGAUAUACGUUGCGGCGAGAGCGAGGGUGUUGGUCCGGCCGGAGAGCUACCGUGACGAGUGGGACGACGACCAACUGGUGGCCCAAGCACACAUCACCUCAUCGACGGCUACUUAUGGUUUAGCUUCUGUCGGCUUCUCGUCCCUUCGGGGACAUGCGAUAAAAGAGUUUAGAUGA
rnacentral:rRNA from 1 species